AUGAUCUGUUUUCUGCUGAGGUAUGCAGAAAAAAAACAUUUUUUUUACAUAGAAUUAAGCAUAAUGAUUAUGGCUCGAGAUUACCCUCCCUCUCUCUCCCUCCCUCCCUCUCUCUCCCUCCCUCUCUCUAUUUCUCUCCUUCUCUCCCUCCAUCUGUCUCCUUCCCUCUCUCCAUCUGUCUCCUUCCCUCUCUCCAUCUGUCUCCCUCUCUCUCUCCAUCUGUCUCCUUCCCUCUCUCCCUCUAUCUGUCUCCUUCCCUCUCUCCAUCUGGCUCCUUCCCUCUCUCCCUCCAUCUGUCUCCUCCCCUCCCUCCAUCUGUCUCCUUCCCUCCCUCCAUCUGUCUCCUUCCCUCCCUCCAUCUGUCUCCUUCCCUCCCUCCAUCUGUCUCCUUCCCUCCCUCCAUCUGUCUCCUUCCCUCUCUCCAUCUGUCUCCUUCCCUCCCUCCAUCUGUCUCCUUCCCUCCCUCCAUCUGUCUCCUUCCAUCUGUCUCCUUCCCUCCCUCCAUCUGUCUCCUUCCCUCUCUCCCUCCAUCUGUCUCCUUCCCUCCCUCCAUCUGUCUCCUUCCCUCUCUCCCUCCAUCUGUCUCCUUCCAUCUGUCUCCUUCCCUCCCUCCAUCUGUCUCCUUCCCUCCCUCCAUCUGUCUCCUUCCAUCUGUCUCCUCCCCUCCCUCCAUCUGUCUCCUUCCCUCCCUCCAUCUGUCUCCUUCCCUCUCUCCCUCCAUCUGUCUCCUUCCCUCUCUCUCUCCCUCCAUCUGUCUCCUUCCCUCCCUCUAUCUGUCUCCUUCCCUCCCUCCAUCUGUCUCCUUCCCUCUCUCUCUCCCUCCAUCUGUCUCCUUCCCUCCCUCCAUCUGACUCCUUCCCUCCCUCCAUCUGUCUCCCUCCCUCUCUCCAUCUGUCUCCUUCCCUCUCUCCCUCCCUCCAUCUGUCUCCUUCCCUCUCUCCCUCUCUCCAUCUGUCUCCUUCCCUCCCUCCAUCUGUCUCCUUCACUCUCUCCCUCUCUCCAUCUGUCUCCUUCCCUCUCCCUCUAUCUGUCUCCUUCCCUCCCUCCAUCUGUCUCCUUCCCUCUCUCUCUCCAUCUGUCUCCUUCCCUCCCUCCAUCUGA
rnacentral:lncRNA from 1 species